rnacentral:rRNA from 1 species
AUCAGCACCCAUAUCACUCUGCAACUCACAACUAGCAACCUGCUAAAGCUAAGCAGGUGUGAGCCUGGUCAGUAGCUGGAUGGGAGACCUCCUGGGAAAGAGAGGAAGAGGUGCUAAUG